GAGGAAUCUUUCCUAAAGUUUGCCACAGUCGGUAUCAUGCGAUAUAUCGGCUCUCGAGACUCGCUUGCUUAUAUAUUCCUCCUCCUCCUCCCUCACGGAGGUUUCCAGCGUAAAACUCAACGUCGAGUCGUUUAGUAGGACUCCAGCGACGGAAUACUCCUCUGCCUUUCGCGCUUUACUCAUUCUUUCUUUCUCUUUCUCUUUCUCUCUCUUUCUUUCUCUAAUCUAUCUAUCUAUCUAUCUAUCUAUAUAUCUAGCCAUUUUAAUCGGAGACGCGUGUGCGACUUUGAAAACGAUUAAAAAUUACGAUUUUUUAUAAAUCGUGCAUCGUUUGGCCGAUCCAUCGUCUAUUUAUUUGGAUCUUCGUAGACACUUCGUUUUUGUACUUCUGCGUCCACUAAAACAACCACCAUGACAACAGCGGCAAAGCUAUACGGCAAGGAUUUAAGUGAAUAUGAAGACGUUGACGUGGACGAAUUGCUGGCACAACUAACGCCCGAAGAAAUCAAUAUACUUGCCAAGGAAGUUGAUCCAGAUGACAGUUUUAUGCCUCCGUCGCAGCGUUGUAGUUACGAAUGCGACAAGAGCCCUACAGGUCCGCUUAACCGAAAGAAACUCAUCGAACACAUUAACAAACAAGCUUUGGAAACACCGGAUAGACCAGAAUUAAAACCUUAUGUACCUGGAGUUAUUAGAGGAAAAAAAUGGAUUCCACCGUCUCAAGAAAGUGCGAAAGAAAAAGAAGCGGAAGAGCAAAUUGCGAUAGAUCUUGGCGAAGAAUAUGAACAAGCAUUAUCUAAUGCGACUCAAGAAGAAAUUAUUGAUCUUGCUGCAAUUCUUGGAUUCCAUUCUAUGAUGAAUCAGGAUCAAUAUCACGCAUCUUUAUUAAAUUCUGGACAGCCUGUGGGAUUGGGCUGGGACGGAGUGACAAAAGCUAGUCAACCAAAGCCUUAUCCGAUGGAACCACCUAAUGAUACGGAUGUUGAUGCAACUAUUAAACAAGUUAGAGAUGAUGAUUCUUCGCUAACCGAAUUAAACUGGAAUAAUAUUAAAAAUAUCUCAGAUGAGAAAUUUAUCCAGUUGUUCGAAGGAUUAGAAGGAAAUACGCAUCUUGAGUCAUUGAGUUUAACCAAUGUUGGACUUACUGACAAAACGGCCCAAAGGUUGGCAGAAGCCAUGGAGAAAAACUCUACGCUUAGAGUAUUAAACGUGGAGACAAAUUUUGUAAGUCCACCUGUGACAGUGAGGCUCAUUAGAGCUCUUCUUAAGACCAAAUCGAUCGAAGAAUUCCGAUGUUCCAAUCAGAGAUCACAAGUAUUGGGUAACAAAAUUGAAAUGGAAAUCACACAAUUGGUAGAACAAAAUCCAACGUUAUUACGACUUGGACUUCACUUUGAGUUUAAUGAUGCCAGACAUCGCGUUGCUGCACAUUUACAACGUAACAUCGAUAGGAUCUGUCGUGUGGAACCUAUGGAACGCGCUAAGGUCGUAGCGAUCGGUUCGGGUCGUGACACAUUCACCGUUCUUCCUGUAGGAGCUCUAAAAAAUCGUGGCUAGCGCUAAAAACACGGCGCAUACGGCAGUCCCGGCUCGGGGUGGCGACAUCUUAACGCGAGUGGCGUUCGCCUAGAUCGCCUACGCCGCACGGGAAGGGCUUCCCGCAACUAUACCAUCGGCUGGGCCCUACAUUGACGAUCAUAUAACGAUGGCGACGACGAUAUAUGACGACAUUAAGGAUGACGAUCGAGUAAAUUAAAUUAAAAUGAAAUAUUCGAAGGAUCGAUUUUAUCUUAUCUUUAUCCUAUUUAAUUAGACGUAUGCUUACACUUUUAUUUCUUCGAUUCAUCGACAAAAGCACGUAUAUGUAUGUAUAUAUAUGUAUAUAUGUAUGUAUGUAUGUAUGUAUGUAUGUAUGUAUGUAUGUAUGUAUGUAUGUAUGUAUGUAUGUAUGUAUGUAUACAUAUACACACGCAUACACACGAUACGCACUAUGCUAUAUAGCGAUCGAACUAGCAACAAUUAUAUCUAUUGGUAAUAAUGAAAUAUUGAAGAAUUAUCUCUAAUAACUAAUUAUGAUUAAUCGCAUCAAUUUUUUUAUUAUACUUUUUUUCUAAUUCGAAUCGAAAAUCAACGAUGUUGCUUUUCGAUAUAUCGAAACGAAAGGAUACAAAAAGCGAUUAUUUCUUUCUAUUUUUUUUCUUUAUUUUUUUUUUUUUUUUCUUUUCUUUUUUUAUUUAUUCCAUUCGCAUUCGAUAUUCUUACGUUGUUAAUUUUAUUGACGAGUAAAUAUCGAUAAGUUUUUAAAUAAAUAAAUAUAUAUAUAUAUAUAUGUUACAUUUUAACGAUCCAAAUAACGAUUUAAAAAGCGAUAUUAGAAAUAAAUUGUGAUUCAAUCUCCAAGAGAAAGUCGAUUUAAAUAUUAAAGAUAUAUUGCGAGUAAGUACGUUGAUCGAUCUUUUCUUUUUUUUUUUUUUUUUUGUUCUUUUUUUGUUCUAUCGAUAUUCGAUAAUAUGCAGUACGAUCGAUGUGACAAUAGAAAAAAUACAAUUUUAAAAUGUAAGUAAUGAUUUACAUAAAUUCGCUUCGAUAAAAUUUAAUCGCGUAGCUUUGUUGUUUACGCUAAGAUGGAAGGCAACACGUUAGUAAAUGUAUUUAUCAUCGUCACGCUUAUCAUAAAAGCUGUCCUGUAGUGUUCACGCGCGUUAAGCCGCGUUAAGCUACAUUUAUGAUCUUUCACUUGCAUUCGGACAGUUUGAUAUAUGGCCUUCGUGUGUUCUUUUAUUGAAUAUAUAUAUAUACACAUAUAUAUACACACACGUAUAUAUAUAUAUGUAUAUAUGUAUGUAUGUAUGUAUGUAUAUGGGUACAUACAUACGUACACAUUUCUUUCUCUGUAAACGAUUAGGAAAAGCGAAAUUGUUAUUCACAAAUUUCGCAGUUGACGACGAAAAGCGUUUAGUAUAAAAAUUCGUAAAAGAGAGAGAAAGAGAGAGAGAGAGA